rnacentral:lncRNA from 1 species
GGAAAAAACUUUUAUCAAGCAGUUUAUAUAUUUUCUACAUCCAUGGGCAAAAUUUCAGUUCUAAGGUAGUGCAUAUGGUACUGAUGUUCCAGUAGAAAAAUGAUUUGAUUGAAUCAAACAAAAGUAAAAAUGAAAAUUGAGAAGCUGAAACUAAUCCGAGCAAACUUUCAUUUGUAUUAAUUCAUGUGGACCUCCUCGACAAAGAUAGGAAAGAUAAUUACAAAGAAUAAUAACAAUAAUUUGUCCUUGUGCUAUCACGCUCACUCUCAAAAUUUGUACAUCAAUUAAUGUUUGAAGCCAAGGUAGUGAGGAACAUGAAGAGCCUUGAUCCAAUCAAGGCCAGAUCGAGGUCCAGCCUUAAGGAACUCACCGGCUGUGAAUUGGGUAGCCUCAGCCCUGCUAAUGACACCACGGUAACCCUUCCACUUGAUCCUUCCUGCAGUGUUGGCACCGGGUCCAGUGUUGGCAUGCUCAGCAUAGUACAAGGUGUCAAGGGCAAAGCUUCCAGCCCAUGGGAACCAUCCCUCUGGAUGAAUGAAGUCACCCAAAGUAGAUUCCAUCACCACGGUCCUUGAGUACUCCUUCCAUGGCCUUCCGAGGUAAGACUUGAUCUUGAACCUCACAGGGAACAAUGCGGCUUCUGGGACAAUCUCACAAUCUUGGAUCACAAUACCUGUGUCCAGGAGCGACGAAGCAAUAGAAAAUAAGUAAGGUUGACAGACUAUAAAUAUUAAUUUACUAAAAAAAUGUUUUGUAGUAGUUAGUUAUGUCCUUACCUGUGGGCAUGUUCUUUGUUGGUGUACCGUCUGCGGUCACAGUGUUGAACUGGUUGUCAUUGGGCUUCCUCACGACGAUGAUGGAGUGUUGGAUCAAGGUGGGGGAGGUUCCAAAGAUAAAGUCAAUGGUACCGGAGAUGACACAGUUGCGGUAGAAUUGCCUGUUGGUCUGAACGUACAAGGUGUCUUGGUAACCCAAGAUGUGGCAGCCCACGAAAGCUGACUGAUCUCCUUGGUUUCUCAAUGCCACAGCUUGGUGACCGUUGGGACCGGCGGUGUUCUCGAAGGUAAUGGCCUUGGCAAUGAAUCCAGGUGCCUGGUUGGCUGCAUGCAUACAUGUAGAGAUAAAUUAGUGAAUCAUAAUUAUAUGAAAAAUGAUUCAUAGACAUAUGCAUACUAAAGUCAUCAGAAAUAAUGAAAUGUGAUCAGAAGGAAGCGGUAAGUUACCGAAGGUGGCAGUUUGCAUGGUCUUCACACCAUCAGCAAAGUUCUUGCGACCGGUGAUGAUGGUCUUUGUAGGGCCAUCACCGUACAUGAGAAUGUUAGCAGCGCUCUUGGGAACAGUGAUGUACUCAUUAUACACACCAGCCUUAACAUAAAUAACAUAUCUUCCCUUAAAUCCCUUGGGGUAUGAGGCAAUAGCAGCUUCGACGCUCUUGAAUUGACCAGAACCAUCCUUGGCAACCACGACGUUAGGCUUAACACGUGACCUCCACCCUCUUCUCUGAAGCCCAGACAAAAGCUUGCGGUCAGAAGCAGAGAACCAUGAAGGGUACCCUUCAUUGUCAACAUCCUCACUGAGAAGACGACGAGAAGCAGGUUUGAGAUCCAACUUCAAGUUGAACUGCUCAAGAAUUUUGGUCAUGCUAGUGACAAUGUCAAGGGUGAUGGCGGUGAUCCUCUGAACAUGGUCCAUGCUCUCGGUAUGGAGUUGCUCCUUGAUCUGCUUCUCACCGUCCUUGUCAUUGUCAAAACCUUCCAUGCAUGCUUGUUGGUACGAGAUAACAGCGCCCAACCAAUUCCUGAAAUCGGGGAUCUGGUUGUGCACGCCUUGGAUGUUGUUGUCGCGAACCAGGGUCGUGGAAAGGUCAAGACUUUGCAUGGCGGAUUGCAAGAGGUCCUUGCAAUCGUCAAGGGCCAUCUUGAUACCGUGGUCCUUGUUCCCGUACUCGGUUGUGAGUCGGUCGCUCAUGUUGAAGGCUUUGAUGACGCUGUCACUGGCAGCUUUCACCGCAGUCGCGAUGUAAGCCUUUGGAUCGGCGGCAUCAACCCCUUUCACGGAGCUGAGGGUAUCAUGGCAGAGCUUCUGGUCAUCGGUGUUUUGGCAAAUGGUCCUGACAGACCUCUGUUGAGUUUGAACCUCAGGGUCUGCAUUAUUGUUAUGAACAGAGACGACAAUGCCAAUGGCAACUCCUACUACGAGGAUGAGAGAAACAGCGGAGAUAAUUAUUUUCCCCUUCAUUUUUUAUUUUUUUUUUACAAAAACUUCUCUUCUUUUGAUAAUGGUUGAAAAGAAGGUAAGUUUUUAUUUUUUCCUCCCUCUGUUUCGUUGGGGAGGCUUUAUUUUAUGGAGAUCCUGCUUAGUAAUGGAGAUGAAGUUGGGUUUUUAUAUGUGUGCUUCGAGGUUUUUCAACCAAGGAAAUAAAAGGAAAGUGUAUAUUUAGCAAUGUCUCGUUGUGGUCUUCGUGAAUGGCAGGCAUAGCAUUGUUGUUGGGUCUGAGUUUUCGGAAUGGAUUGAAACACAGUGCUAUUUUUCUAAAGUGUGGUGUUUUACAAAUUAUCUAGCAUUGGUGGUGUCUAAAGAUAGUUGAAGGAGACCAUUUUGAACCUCAAGUUGCCUAUGUUCUAGCAAAGCCACUGGGUUAUUUUUGUUCUGGCUUUGAAUGGCUUCGGAUCAUCACUCGCUUCUGUGUGUUUCAAAGUGGGAAUGUUUAUGAGUUAAUGCAAUUUUAAUUUUGCAAAAUACGUGUCUUUAACUUGUUACGCUUGUUAAUUUAUGAGGAGAUCAUAUUAACAAUAAGAAAUGUCUUUUGUUAAAGAUUUUAUAACUUCAUGCUUUCAUCAUGCCCAUAUAAACGUAACAUUAAAAUGAAAAUUGAGAAUCGGGGUGCCUAAAGCUAUUAUUUUAGUGCCUCCCCCUUGGGCUGAUUAUGCAUUUGACCCUCUAACAAAUAUCAUUUAGUGGUCCACUGUUGCACUAUUAUCCUAGUAGGCCAUAGGGGUGAACAUGGGCCGGGUAAAUCCAAUGAACCCGCCCAACCCAAUCCGAUCCAAUAGAAAAAAUGCGGGUUGGAUCGGGCAAUCGGGUUAGUCGGAUGAAUUUUACUACAACCCAACUAAGUUCGGAUCGGAUUUCAGAUUCAGUUCAAAUCCAUCCAACCCAACCCAUAAUCCAUACAUAUAAUAAUAAUUUUUAUAAUUUUACUCAUACUUUGAGUGCUAGUGUCGGAGUGAUGACUUUUUGAAACUUUGAGACUUAAGUAUUUGUAGUUAUUUGUCAUAUUUGAACUUAGAGUAUUUGUUCGUAGUUAUUUGUUACAUGUUUAUAUAUAGUUAUUUGGCAUGUUGGAGAAAUCUAAAUUCUAAGUGUCAUGGCAUGACAUUUAAUGUUGUUUUUCACUUUUUUGAUACUAUUUAUAUUAGAUUGUUUCAUGUCAUUUGGUAAUGAAGUUUUAUGUUUUCAUGAUAUUUGGCUAUAUGUCAUUUAUGUGGUAUUAUUUCUAUAAUUUUUUAUAUCUUUUUCAUGCUAUUUAGUAUUAUAACAUAUUUAGUAUUUUUUAUCUUUUUCUGUAUUUAUAAUAAUUUUUGCAAGAUUUUUUUAAUAUUUCAUAUAUAUUAUUAUUUUAAUAUAGUGACCCAAUAAAUCCAUCCAACCCAAUCCAAACUUCGUCGGGUUGGUUCGGAUCGGGUCCGAAGAAGAAAUUCGUGAAAUCCAACCCAACCCAACCCAGACAAUUUUGAUCGGUUCGGAUUUUAUUUUGACUAAAAUCCAUCCAACCCAACCCAUGUGCACCCCUAGUAGGCCCCAUCCUGGCAAGGCCUAAAUAAAUAGUAUAUGCUAAAAUGGGUUAUCAAUUUUUCUCUUCUACAUUUUUAUGAAAAGGCAUCAAAGUAUGAGAAAAAUUUGGGUACUCUAUUUGUUCAUUACACCAAAUAUUCAAUACUCUUGUAUAAAAUUAGUGCUAAUUUAAUUCAAAUAAUAUGAAUUACCAACUCUAUAUGUGUUACCAACCCUAAACCUAAACACUGUUUUGGUGGGCCCAAGCUGCCACAUAGGAUUUAAGCAACCCAAACAGAAUUCGCUCCAACCAUGAUUGCUUAUUUUACUUUUGAUUGGGUCUCACUGUACCUCAUAUAUUUGUAUUAUUUCAAGGUCAAGAGACUAUUCAACUUCAUGAAUGAUGAAGGGUGAAGGGUCUAGGGGUCGAACCCUGAGGAUAACUAAUUUACUAACAUUACUAAUAACUAACAUUUGUCUAUAAAAGAAUGAAUGAAAGAGAAAAUAUGAAUUUUUUAAUCAAAAAGGAAGAAGAAAAAAAAAAGCAAUCGUUGCUUAAAUAAGCAAUGUUGCAAAAGUUUAAGCAAUCAUAUUGCUCCAAAAUAAACAACGUUGCUUAAGUGUUCAAACUGGAUUAAGCAACCACCAUUGGAGAUGCUCUUAUAAAUAUUAUUCAAUGGUACACUGUUAUAUAAUUAAUCUAGUAGACCACAUACUGACAUAGCCUAAAUAAAUAUAUUCUAAAACGGGUUCUAAAUUAUAGGUAAAAUUUCUCGCACCCAUAAAUACCUGCGAGUUCAAAAAUGGAUUAACUUUUUCUUUACUCGCUUGCUAAUGGGGCCAAGGUCGACCCAAGACCCAUGUGACCCAAGCAAGGGCUUUAGACCCUAAUUAUUUUUUUAUUAAGUAGAAAAGACAUCUCAUUCAUAUGAUAAGUCCAAUACUAUGUUUGUAAAGAAGGUCUCAAAUAAAUAUUAAGGCCUCAAUUCAAAAAACAAAACUCAAUAGUCUCCAUGUAAGGGAAAAAAAAAAUCUACCCCACGUAAACAAAAAUUAAUAAAGAAACUUUUUAAAGUAAAAAAGUCUCCUUUAAAAUUUGUAUUAGACCCCAUUUAAAAUUGGGCCGGCCCCGACACUAAAUCUACUCCACCAAAUUUCUUUCACACUACCGAUUAUACCUUCUUUAGGCUUUUGAUGAUCUUGGUUUUUGAACUCCUUUACCAUUUGAAAGUGAGGUCACACUAGAAUGAGAGAUUGAUCUUACGACUAUCUAUCGGUUAUCAUUGUGGAAUAUCUAACUACUCAAGUGAAGCCGAUUUAUAGUGCUCUGUUCGUAAAACAGAGGAAAAACAGGGGAGUUUAAAAGGAAAAGUAGUUGGUGGGUGGGGUUAAGACUUAACACACAACGUUUUCGUUUAUUAUGGGAUGAGCCAGAAAAACACCAAAUGUUGUCAUUAACAGUGCGGUUGUGUUGCUUCACAAAUGGAUGCCAAUGAUGCCAGAAUCUUGCUGGGUUUUCCACCCAAUUCACAUCCAACUCCAUCCCAGGUUUUUUCUAAUUCUUUCAAUCGUGAUCGUUUGAUUCAUAAUUCGCUCCCUUCAACAACUCAAUUUCAGUUUUUGAGCAUGACCCUUUUUUCUAUUCCCUAAUUCUCAGUGGUUUGAUAAUUAAUUUCAUUUCAUUACUUAGUGAUAAUUGGGAAGUGAUCAACAUUUUUUUGUUAUCCUAGAGUAAUCUUGAUGAUAAUUUGGAAGUGAUAAUUGUGAAUUUUUUUCUCUUUUUGUUUAGGUCAAAUCAGCUUACAAAAAGAAAGUGUGGGAAUCUCACCCUGACCUAUUUCCAUCUCAUGAGAAGCCUCUUGCUGAGUCCAAGUUUAAACUGGUAAGCUGUUCAAUUAAUUUUGUUAUUCCAUUUUCUGUUCAAAUGAUGAAAUUUUUCAUAACCAUGAUUGUGAAUUGUGAUGUUGGGAUUGGGAACUUGAUAUGGAGUUGCACUAUGACAGUGAAACAUUAGUUGUAAGCUUAGUAUAUCAGUGUGUUUCACUAAAUCACACAUGACCAAUUGUGUAGUGUAUGAAGAUAAUGGUCAUUCAUCUGUAUUCCCCUCACCGCGUUCUUUCUCUCGGUAUCCGGAAGCAAUGCCGGUGACUGACUACGAAUUGGUUUUGUUGGGACAGCUAUUUUGGCCAUUGUCAUAUUUCCUGCUGUUUAAUGGAAGGAGUAAUUGAAAUUUUAUGUUUUGCUGCAGAUUUCUGAAGCUUACGCAUGUCUACUGCCCGGUAAUUCUCCAUAUCCUUUCAACUUGUGGAAUAAAUAUUUCAAAAUGUCUCGUGAUUUGAAAUCCUGCACAGACAGUUAAAUUUAUUGACGAAACUUAAUGUGGAAGCAUGGUUUUACAAACCAUCAUAAUAUGACCCAAUUUCAGUAUUGAAUAAUAAGUAGGUCUGAACUCCUAAUCCUACCUGUCAUGGAAAUUUCUUUUCUUAGAGCUUACUAAAAUUCACAAGGAUAUACUUAUAGCAUCAUUAGUUAGCCUGUGGUCAACUCAAAAUGAGUAUAUAUUUGGAGCAGGCGACUAGAUUAUGGGAAAAGAACUUUGCAAAAGCUCCCUUUCAUUGUUUUAGCUUGUGUCUUUGAUAUUCUGUUAGUGAUCAGCAUUUAUAGCCAUUUUCAUGCUCGAAUGUCUAGCGUAAAUUUGCAUAAAAAUGCAGUAACAGGUCUGAAGUAAGCAUGAUAUCACAUUUUUUCCUAUUUUUUCCAAUACUUUGCCCAUCCUCCCCGGCCUUUAAUUUGAAUGAAAUCUUUCGGUUGUUGUCCAAGUACUCUGGCAGUUGAACGUAUGUACCUCUUCCUUUUUGUAUAUGGUGGUGACAAAAUGCAUUAAUAACAUGCUUGGAUCAAAUCCUUUUUCUUCAUAAUCAAUUCUGAAACUCAGAAGCGAUCACAUAAGCUUUUGACCAGAAUUAAUUAUGGCUUCAUAAUCAAUUGAAGAACUCUAGAAGAAUCUCAAAACAUGCACCAAGUUGUCUAACUCUAGAGCGAUAAGUAAUGUCCCUAUAUGUUUACAAUUCCAAAGAACUCAUUGUGAAUUUUUAUAAUUCAGAAAUAAAAAAAGGCAUGAUCUUCUCUUUAAGCUGAUGGAACAAGGAAUGCUAAUUUCCCUCCCUUGAAAGGGCCCUGAGCUUGUCCUUCUGCUUAUAGGGUCUUAAUAAAAAAUAAGAAAUGCAUUUGUUUAUAUUUGUUUUUCCACCUCUAAGUACUAAUAUAUAGAAUCUGUAACACAGGUGGCAGAGAAGCUUCAAGUUCAGGUAAUUCUGAAUCCUCCUAUGUGUGAUCUAAAACUAAUCCUUCUUUUUUCAGUUUCCUUAUUUAAAUGAAGCCUGAUUGUUGUUCAGUUGAAUAUUCAAGAGUUGUGAGAACCGGAGUUCCAAGGGCUCAAGGAGGAAGAAAAAAUCAUGCUAUGAUUAAAGUGCCAUUCAUUUUCCUUAUUCUCGGAACAGUCACGCUUGGAGGGUUUAAUGCUUCAAGGUGUUUAACGACCGGUCUUGUGGCUGAUUCUUAUAAACUUGUGGUUUUCAUUUCACGGUGACAAUAACACCCUUUCUUCCACUGUCCCGCAGGGCUUACAGAAGGCAAAAGGAGGCAUACCCUUCACACAAUCCAUUUCUUCCUUGAUGACCUUACAAGUUGGAAUGAAGCUCGUAACUUCAUAUUGUGCCUAAUUGCCAAUUGGUGAAUACUAUGUUGUAUAUUUUUUGUAUUUUUCAAAAGUCGAAAGAUCAAAUUUCACAUUUAAAAGUUAGAAGUAAUAAAAAACGAUUUUAUGUUAAAUCAGAAAACUUACUUUGUGAAGUUUUCAUAUGUACUGUGGGGUUAACGUUUGAUUUUAACUUUAUCCACAGUGAUUUGAUGUAUAAUAUAAUAUUGACACUAAUUAACAUUAUUUCUUGACCUCAUUUUGAGCACGUUUCUGCUUUGGGCUUUUUCCCUUGUUCUUCAUUUUCUUUUCUUUUUUCUUUGGUGAGUUGGCUUAACGAUUAAUAUUGUUGCAGUUCUGUGUACUUAAAAUCAUUUUUGGAUGAGUCUAUAUCUUGAAGGCCAGUUUUCACGGAUUUCAAGAUUCUUUUGAGAGAACUAUCUCGAUACAAAUUCAACAGGUUGUAACUUGUAAUGAAGGAGUUAGAUUUUAGUAGUCUAUAUUGGAGAAGUGGGAGGUGUAUUGAAGGCCAAAAGUUUGGCUAAGUUUGCUUAAAUGAGCCAAUAUGAAUGCUUUAUUUGAGGUUGAAAUAGGACUUAUGGCUUCAGGGUUAGAUUGUUCAGGUGGAAUUUCAAUCCAAAACUUGGAAGGUUAAGGGGCUCAUACAAGCCUUGAUUUAAGAUUGUAAGGUUGGUACUUUCAAGAUAGACGAGAAAGUACGAGUCCUGACUUGCGACCAGCAAACACAAAAUCGCCAAGUAACAAGACUCUUAUGAGGAUUUGCAUUGAAUUUUCGAUCUAAGUUAUCAAGCAACAAGACAGUAAGGAGGGUCUGUGUUGGAUCCUGAAUCUAAGCUGUCAAGCAACAAGACUUUUAGGAGGAUUCGUGUUGGAUCCUUAAGUAAGCUAUCAAGCAACAAGAUGGUCAAGAGGAUUGUGUUGGAUCUUGAACUUAUCAAGCAACAAAACAACUAAGAGGAUUUGUGUUAGACUCUUCAAAAGGUCUGAUUCUGGUUGAAGACCUGAUAUUUUGAGCAUGGAGAAUGCCUAAGUUAUAAACACAAUUUGUGAGAACUCUGAUAGAGGAGUUUUAGUUGAUUUAAAAAAAUAUUUGAUGGAAUAACUUGAUUUUGCUCAAAUUUAGAGAAAUGGAAGACCGAAUCAAUUGAUUAAAGAUUAUUUUUAAUCGAUUAAAAGGAAUCAGAAAAGCACCAAACUUAUAACUCAUCAAGAACAAACAUAAGUAAUUCAACAAAACAUGCCUUUUAUCAUAAUCACAUACUAUAGAAUCUAGAUAGUAGAUUGUAGAGAAAUAAGGCAGCAUUAACUUAAUAAUCAAUCUUAGAAUAGAUUUGUAUUUGAUUGGAAUAUGCACUUAUUAUAAGAUUGAAGACACUAGAACAUGAAUGUUAGUAGAAAGUUUCAAUUACUCUGUCAGUUUUAAUUAACUUCUAUCAAUCUAGUUUCAGCCUGGCAUCAGCUGAGAAAAUAGCUAAAAGGGAAUAAUGACUACAAUUGUAACUCAAGAAUCAUCAGUCAAAGUUAUAAGAGGUCAAUUUGGAAAAAGACAGAACCUUCACUGCAUGGUUAAGCACCCCCUCUAUACAAGAAUGAUUCGAUUUACUAAUGAAUAAUUUUAACAUGAAGGAAACCAACUCUGCAAAAAGAAUUUGUAUGUUUCCUCCACUCUGCUUCUUUCUCCUUUGCUGUUUCCUCCUUGUUAAGAUCUUUCUCUGUUCUUUUUGGGCAGAAACAUUCAGACAAAAACUUUGAUUUGGUUCCUUUAAGCUCUUUGCCUCUAAAAGCUAGAUUGUUAAUAAGCUGGCUUUCUUCCAACAUCAGAUGUUAUAUGGCUUCUAAGCUAGAUUGCAGCUAAGCUGGUUUUCUUCCCAGAUGUGAUAUCCGCGAAGAGAUUAAAGGCGCUUCUUCAUCAAAAUGAGUAUCGGAAACUAAAUCAUUUUGUAAUGUCUCCUCAUUGCUGAUCACAUCAUCCUCUGCCUUUUUCUCCAUCUGUAACUCCUAUAUUUAUUCAAAAAGCAAAGCGCAAAAGUCAAACCAAUAAAUAUGCUUCCUUAAAAAAAAUGAAGGUUCACUAGCACCAACUGCAAUCAGACUUGAAUGAGUUGAAUCAAUCAUCAAUCACUAUGUCAGUAAGCAAAACUUAAUUACGCCCGCAGAAAGGAGAGGAGAAAGGUCAGAUUAGAUAAACAAUUAAUUAGUCUGCUAUAUCUGUAAGAAAUUAUCAAGCCAAAAAGAACCAUAUGAUUAGAGUUUGAAAUUUGGACAUGUCUUUUCACUCCCAAAAACAAAGGAUGUGUGAAGGCAUGAUGAAGUAGAACUUUACUCAAUUUCUUUAUUCAUAUGGUGGCUAGGUUAUAAAAUAAAACAGUACUCACAGUUACUGCAAUGAAUGUUUGGAUCAUUUGAUUAAAAUUCAUGGAAGAAAAGAUGGCUAAAGACCUAAAGUUAAGUAGUAAGUAACUAAUGUCAAAUUCACACAGAAUGGUGAUAAAUAGUACUAAAUUGUAAUGUAAUCCAAAUGGAAUGAAAUCGAAUGGCCAUUCUCAAUUCACAGUUUGGUAGCUUGUUGAAUGGAAAUGACUUUCCAAACCAUUCAAUUGUUUGAUACCUAGAAUUACAUGAGUAUUUAAAAGGAAUUACAGGAUCAGGUUGAAAAUAGAAUUGAAAUUUAGAAAUCAUAAAUUCAAUAAAAAAAUGGAUGAUAAUUAUCAUUGUAUGAAAUAAAUGAGGCUGUGUUAGAAAACAUUCCAUUCUUUUUUCUACAAACAUGGGAAUGUUUAUGGAAUAAAUCACAAAAUGGCAUCGCCUUUCUAGUAUAAAACACCACAUAAGAGAAUAGAGCCAAAGACACUUAAAUCAUGCAUGAAUGCUGAUCAAACUACAAAACAAAAACAAAAAAAAUUACUGAAAAGGCUGACCUUUGUUGAUUCAUCUUGGGUACUUUGAAGUUGAGAUGUGCGAGCAUCUUUGACCUUCAGGUAGUUGUAUAAAACAACGCCACUUAAAGCUGCUCAUUCAAAAAUAAUUUAUAUAAAGAGACACAUAAAGGAAAUCCAUGCAAUACAACAAAUUUAAACUACUAUAAUAGUAUAAUGUCUUUUCAUUAAAGAAGCAUAUACCAAUAGCAUAGCCAGUAAUAUUAAGCCCUGUAAUCUUUGACUCAGGAAAUAAGACAGUAGAAAGAGUGAUAAGUAACCAGUCUUUCAAAACUCCAGCCACUCGAAUAGUUACUGCCCCAGUUCUACCAAUCACUAAGAAAGUUGAAAGAUUCAACGCCAAAGCACAAAGCGCAUUUGAGAAAAAUAUCCAGAAGUUAAAUUGCAUAUGCGGAUCUUCCAUCUCAGGCUUCUCAAGGAUAUACCAUGGGAUAAAAAGAAAUACAAAGCUGCAUACAAUAAUGAGCGAAUGAUCAUUAUUCUUCCAGAUAAAUAAAGAUAUAAAUAAUAAAUUUGAAUUUCAUUGUACCCAUUGACAUUUUCAAUACACAGAUAUUUCAAUAUUUGUGCCUCUCCCUGCCCCAUUCCCUUUCUUGAGUCAAAAUAAGUGCAUUAUAAGCAUAUAAAAGGCUACCAAUGGUAUAUGCAGAACUAUAAAAGGGCUUUGAAAUGCAUAAGAAUAGAACUACCUGCAAGGUGCUAUGUAAUACAAGCUGGUAAUAGGAUUUAGUGUCAAGCCCUUCUUUUGAAGAAGAACUUGAGUUAAGACCAGCCUCAACGCUUCAGCAAUUAUUCCUGUGACCUGAUAAACUGUACCGAUUACAUUAAAAUGAAUUUCCCCGUAGGAGGAAAUUACAACUCCAACACUGACCAGCACCAUGUUCCAGAACACGUCACACCUUAAUUUCUCAGUUCCAAGAGUCACAGCCACCAGAAAUGUUGCCACAGGCACUGCAAAUAAAAAAUAAAUAACAAAAGGGAUGAUUUCUAUUAGGGAUUGUUAUUUUCCAAAAAUAUGGCAGCUGGAAGGAUGAUAAGCGAAAAUUAACUCACUCAGGGCUUUAAGCAUCUGGAUGAAGGCGACAGAAAUGAAUAAAUAGGCAGUGUUCCCAAACCUAAAAGGACAACAAAGUAAUUAAAUCAACAUUUUCAAUGCAACUAUGAAUUUGGGAAGGUAGUUUUAAAGUAAUUAAUAAAACUUCAAAGGCUAUGUGAUGUAAUACAGUAAUUAUUACUAAUACAACUUUAGCUCAAUUUUCUUUUUUUAUGAUAUUCUAUGGUGCAAUAUAAAAGUAUUCCAAUCCUUUCAAAUCCCGAUUCUUUCAAACAUAAUUUGUUGAUUUCAGGAUAACUAUUAUGAAAUCACGAGUUGUAUCAGCUAAUUUCCAACAAAAUGCAUAGGCAAUCAAGAAGAUGAAUAACAAAUAUACUGUAGCAUACACGUCUCAGGGUAUGUUAUCUAAAUCUUCUUAUUUCUUAUAUCUGCAAACAGAAAUUGAUGAACAUAUUUGUGCCAGAUGAUGUUUGUUUGAUCCAAGAAGUUUGUAAUGAAACCAUUUGUUUUAUCAGCAAACUUCCAACUAAACAGAGAAGGUAAUAGACAGAAUGAAUAGCAAAUACAAUAUAAAAUUCCAAUACAAUGUUAUUUGAAGUCUAGCAUAUCUACAAAUAAAAUUUACAUUCAUGAAUCUUGUGCUGCAACGUUUUUUUGCUUGGCACCACAAACCCGAGUAUGCACACACACACAAUGAAACAAAAUGCUCAAAACAUGAUUUGAUUAAGGAAGCAUAAACUUGAUGAUCAUAACUCGCUCAGACACUGUUUUAUUUUGUUUACAAAAGGGAACAGAAACAGUAGAGUAUCAACUUCACUAAGAUGCCAGGGAACUUUAGCACUGACUUUACAAACAUAUAAAUGAAUAUGGGGGGCUGUUUAAGGAACACAUAUUAGAAUUUAGAAAUGGGUUUGCUCAAAUUACAACUUUGGAUCAAUAAUGUCAAUUGCUUACCACAGACUUGCGGCAAAGAAGGCGCUUAUAGGGACCACACAAGUUGCAUAUCUGCAAAUCAUACUUUUUGUGAGAAGCGAGAUAUAAUAAGCGAAAUGUGAAACAGGAUAUCCAUGUAGAAUUCUUACAUAUGUAAUGUCAUCUUAAUAGGUGAUACAACCUGCAUCAAUUGAAAGAAGAUGAAAAAGAAAUAUCAUCCAGUUGAUUCAGCAAUACUUUUCAAGAAAAAGCUAAUGAAUAAUAAGGGAAUAGCAUUAAGGAGUCAACAACAU